rnacentral:lncRNA from 1 species
GUCAUACUCAAUAUAAAUUAAUAGUAAUGGAUGCAAAUGACAACGGUGCUCUCCAACAGGUGCUUUUUAAUAAAAGGAUGAUGACUCAACAUAAAAAUAAAUAGAUAGGCCCUACGCAGAGGGAAGCAGGGAUUUGUAGAGGUGCCAGAGCUCGAUUUUUGAAUAGAGAUAAAUAAUAUUUUGAGCGGCAUACUUUCAUUGUUAACAUAACAACCGAGAGAUCUCGAUAUCUUCCAUGCUACACACAUUAUAGGCGGUUCCCAAACAUAAUGGUAAAGUUUAUACUCCCCCUCCACCAACAAUCAUCAAUUCAUGGCUUUCCCGAAACAACGGGUGCCUCCAACUAACAACAAUCCUAGGGGAGUUUUGUUUGCAAUUAUUUUGAUUUGAUUUGAGCAUGGGACUUGGCAUCCGAUGACCAGCCAUUUUCUCGUGAGUGAGGAGCGGAGUCCACUCCUCUUGAGAAUAACCCAUCUAGCAUGGAAGAUACAGACAACCCUAGUUGAGACAUGAGCUGUUAAAGCAUACAAAAUAGAAUUUCAUUUGAAGGUUUAGAGUUUGGCACAUACAAAUUUACUUGGAACGACAGGUAGAUACCGCAUAUGGGAAGGUAUGGUGAACUCAUAUGAAAUAACUUUGGGGUUUAUGGAAGUGAAUGCACAAGCAGUAUUCCCGCUUAGUACAAGUGAAGGCUAGAAAAAGACUGGGAAGCAACCAACUAGAGAGCGACGACAGUCAUGAACAUUCAUUAAAAUUAAUAGACAUUGAGUGGAAGCAUGAGUAGGAUAUAAUCCACCAUGAACAUAACAUCGUGGAGGCUAUGUUGAUUUUGUUUCAACUACAUGCGUGAACAUUUGCCAAGUCAAGUCACUCGAAUCGUUCAAAGGAGGAUACCAUCCUAUCAUACCACAUCACAACCAUUUUAAUAAUAUGUUGGCAUGCAAGGUAAACCUUUAUAAACUCCUAGCAAAUUAAACAUGUCAUAAGAAACUAUAAUCUCUAAUUGUCAUUGCAAACAUGUUUAUUCAUAAUAGGCUGAAUCGGGAAUGAUGAACUAAUCAUAUUUACAAAAACAAGAUAGGUCAAGUUCAUACCAGCUUCUCUCAUCUCAAUCAGUCCAUCACAUAUCGUCAUUAUUGCCUUUCACUUGAACGACCGAACGGUGUGGAUAAUAAUAAUAGUGCACGUGCAUUGGACUAAGCUGGAAUCUGCAAGCAUUUGAUACAAGGGAGAAGGCAACGUAAUAUGGGCUUUUGGUUAAAUCAACAAUAAUGCAUAUGAGAGCCACUCAACAUUUUCAUCAUGGUCUUCCCCUCUCGACCUCCAAAGAAAAGAAAAGAAAUAAAACUAUUUACACGGGAAAGCUCCCAACAAGCAAAAGAAGAACGGAAAAUCUUUUUGAGUUUUCUUUUAAUUACUACUACUACAGGAAUGGAAAGUAAACUAUCUAAUAGCUAUAACUAAUUUAAAUUUUUGGUUUUUUCUUAAAGUUUUUCAAACACACAAGAAGAAAGCGAGAAAAAGAAAAUAAACUAGCAUGGAUAGCACAAUGAAAAAGUAUGAGCACCGACAACUGGAAUGAAUGUGUGAACAUGAAUGUAAUGUCGAUGAGAAAUACGCACUCCGCCAAGCUUAGACUUUUGGCCUAAGUUGGUCUAUGCCCAUGGAUUGAAGCUACUCUCUCCGGUGUACUGAGGAAUGUCAUCAGGGUGCCACUGGUUGGCAAUCUCCUCCGAAUACCACUUAUAAAUGGAGCGUCGAUAAGGGUCCAGUGGUGGUUCCGGCUCAGGCUCUGGAGCUGGUGUUAGGCUCCGGUAUGCGUAAACGGCCUCCGGCAAGAUGAGGUACGUGCCUGAAAAUAUGUUAAGCAAAGAUGGUGCAGGCAAGAUAAUAGUCUCACUGUGAGUUUUAUUAAAUCCCAAAUUAUACUCAAGCAUCAUCUUCUUAUUUUUAACAAUAAAUUCAUGUGCUACCAUACUCUUAUAAUCUAGAAAAUAGGGGGC